rnacentral:rRNA from 1 species
CCUACGGGUGGCAGCAGUAGGGAAUCUUCCACAAUGGGCGCAAGCCUGAUGGAGCAACACCGCGUGAGUGAAGAAGGGUUUCGGCUCGUAAAGCUCUGUUGUUGGAGAAGAACGUGCGUGAGAGUAACUGUUCACGCAGUGACGGUAUCCAACCAGAAAGUCACGGCUAACUACGUGCCAGCAGCCGCGGCAAUACGUAGGUGGCAAGCGUUAUCCGGAUUUAUUGGGCGUAAAGCGAGCGCAGGCGGUUGCUUAGGUCUGAUGUGAAAGCCUUCGGCUUAACCGCAGAAGUGCAUCGGAAACCGGGCAACUUGAGUGCAGGAGAGGACAGUGGAACUCCAUGUGUAGCGGUGAAAUGCGUAGAUAUAUGGAAGAACACCAGUGGCGAAGGCGGCUGUCUGGUCUGCAACUGACGCUGAGGCUCGAAAGCGUGGGUAGCGAACAGGAUUAGAUACCCCUGUAGUC